GAACGCACCUUGCGCUCUUUGGUAUUCCGAAGAGCAUGCCUGUUUGAGUGUCAUGAAAAUAUCAACCUUGACUUGGGUUUUGUGCUCUAGUCUUGGCUUGGAAUUGGGUGCUUGCCGCUUUUACGAGCGGCUCACCUUAAAUGUAUUAGCGGGAUAGCACCGUAGUCGGCGUAAUAAGUUUCGUCGGUGAAGGUUGUGAUGACUGCUUACAAUCGCCCUCGGGCAAUUUUUGACUCUGACCUCAAAUCAGGUAGGACUACCCGCUGAACUUAAG
rnacentral:misc_RNA from 1 species